UGAGGUUUACCCGAUAUGUCAUUUACACUUUAAACUAUUUUUUUUUUCAAAAGUACACUUAACCUUAAAAAUUUUGAGUCAAUUGUGUCUCUGUCGUUAACGGACAUGCCACCUAGAUUAACAUGGCCGACACCUAGACAAACUUUAGUGAUAAGGCUGACACCUGGAUAAAUUUUUGUUACCCAAAAUCAGAUCCAUUUUCUCUCUCUAAACCCAUCUUUAUCGGAUCCAUUUUCUCUCUCUCUUUCUAAACCCAUUUUACUCAGAUCUAUAUUUCGUGUUUGCCGAUCAGAGCUUUAACUUUUAUGCCAUUUUCCGAAGUCGUCUCUAACAUAACGCUAAAAGAAACAUUUUCAUCUCUCUCUCGUUUCCUUCGCAGCCUUAUAAGGGUUUUGGAAGACGGGUGAGGCUAAAAAAAAUCCAUAAUUCAUCACCAUGAGGUUCUUCUGAUCUGUGAGCUCUGAGCUUGCCGGAUUAUGGGUUCUCUCUUUUCUAGUGGUUUUUAUGAAUUUUGGGAUGCUCUCGAUUGAUCCAUGUUUCAUCGUGAUUUGGGUUCAUGCUGCAUCUACUGAAUAUCAUGUUGGAUUUUGUUAAGGUUUCCAUCUCAAUUGAAUUGGGGACGAUUCUUAUUGAUUUUAUUUGUCUGAUUUGGUGUUUUACUUUUAAUCAGUUUCAAUUUUGGCUUGUUUGGUUUUGAUUUGGUGUUGGGUAUUUGGGUUUCGGUGCUUUUAGUUUCACUCUUGCAUUUGGUUGGUUGAAUCUUGGGUUGUUGUCUCUCACCAAGUUUGGCUCGUCUGAUUCCGUGUUUUCUUAGUUUUGGGUAUCAUUUUGUUUGUCUAUCUUUCAUAUUCAGAGUUUGGUUGGGCUUGAGUUGCAUCUCUUGAUGCCGUUAAUGUCGUGUAAUAAUGGGAAACAUGAAGAUUGUUCAUCCUGGAUCUAAGCAGCUUCAUCCGAGUUUAAUUUGUUUAUAGAGAAUGGGUUUAGAGAGAGAAAAUGGCAGACACUAAAUGAUGAUUGGAUGAGUUUGAAAUUAAGUUGUUUAAUUUGUUUUAAUUAGGAGUUAAUAUUCUAUCUUCAUGCUUUGUCACUAAAAUUUGUCCAACAAAAAAAAUAAUUCAGAGUAUAAGUGGAAUAUCGGGAUAAAUGUCAAGGAUAUUUUUGGACAUUUGCCCUAAGUAUAAAUUGAUAGGAAUUACAAGUGUCAUAGAAACUAAAAUGUCGUUAAAGCAAGUGAAAAAUUGUCGCUAAAUGCGUAUUGCUUUAACAACAUAAAUAAUAAUACUCCUUUGUUACUUUUUUAAGCACGAGUCUUAUUUAUACAUACUCUGAGUGAGGGAGUAUUAUGUUUUUUUAUCAGCUUGAUACUUUUAAUUUAAUAAUGAAGGUAAAUUUGAGAACAUGGUAUUGAUUUAUAUUAGGUGAGCAGGUAAAGGUGUUGCGUUGAUGCGUCGUCACUAGCCACUAGCAGCGGUGAGGAACACUCGAAAUGAUUUCCUUUCCAAAUCACACGAUUCCUAUUUCCUUGCUACUGCUGCUGCGUAGUUUAGUUAGGUCCCCUAAAUACCUUUUGCCCAUUUCAAUUUUAGGACCAGUUGAUUAGUUAAUUUUGAUCAAUUAAUUUUUAUUUUUAUUUUUUUGAGAGAAAAUGGAAAAUUUUAUUGCAGAUCAAAAAGAAGUGAAUUACAAAAAAAAUUUGGGGGAGAUCCCUCCCAAACUCGAGCAUCAGACACCGAAUCAGAAGCACGAGCUAAACAAUGAGCGACCUGAUUCGCUGACCUCCUAACAAAACGAAUACGACUAACAUCGAUUGCUAAACACAGCUCCUUACAAUCAUCCAAAACUAAGUCAAGCGGUCCUGGAUAUGAAACAGUAGAAUUUAGAGCUUGCACAAAAUUGAAAGCAUCCGACUCAAUCAUAACCUUUGACAUCGAACGAGCCUUCAACCAACUAAGAGCUUCUUUACAACCCAGCGCUUCUGCGAGCUCUGGAUUGGAGGGGCCGACCAAACUGCCAUGACCAGCAGCAACCAACGAGCCACUAUCAUCCCAAACCACCCACCCAUAGUCGAGCCGAUUUGAACCAGAAAAAAUAGUCCCAUCAAAAUUACAUUUAAAAGACCCAGGCCUGGGUUUAACCCAACGAAACAG
rnacentral:lncRNA from 1 species